ACCAGUGUAACUGCCUGGUUGCAAGUCACCGCCAGGAUUUCAUCUGAACAAAGACACUUAGAGGCCCACAACCUUCACACUUGCAGCUCUGGGCUCCAGCACCUAAUUCCUUCAGUCUCUGCCUUCAAAACACAAAGGUCUCAGGAGGAACAUGGAAGAAACAGAGAUACUUUCAGUGGAACAGAAUAAACCACUGAACAGUGACUUGAUUUUCCCAUUGGGAAAAAUGAGGAAGCUGUGCGUACCAGAGGGAGGAACGAGCCAGGGAGACAGACUGGAACCACCUCAGAAGCUUUGCCCCUCAGCCCGGAACCUGCCCUGUCUCCUCCCAGCUGAUGAGGACAAGUCCAGCCUGCGCUUGGGGAUCCUUCGUACGACCGUUCAGUGGUGAGUAGGUAUGACAGCAUUUUCUGAUUUC
rnacentral:lncRNA from 1 species